rnacentral:lncRNA from 1 species
CAGAGGAGAAAAAACUGAAUUAACGUCCUUGAGAACCUCAGUGUGAUGAUGUUGCAAGCGCCACUGGAGAGUGGCAGUGAGUUGGGUUUGUUGGUAGUCAAACUGCCUGUCCAUGGCACCAGUAACAUCCCGUCUUCCACUCUCACUGAGCUCUGUCAGUGUGUGGGUUAGAGUGCUCAGUGAGUUUCUGAAUUCCAUGGCACUCUGUUGUUGCUCUUCACUCAGACAUUUGAAUUUAUGGUGGAUUAGAGUUUGGAGAUGUUGUUGAGUCCGACGAAUAUCAAGGAUGUCACCUUGAAGUUGUAAGACUACAACCUCUGGAGAUAAACCAGACAAUGGAGGAAGGUUGGGCGUCAGAGGGAAGGCUAGCUCAGUACUUCCACACAGAUCCAUGUCAAUAAGGGAGUAGCUGGUUAGACCUCCUGUGGCCUGUGGUCCAGACCGAGCCUUCAGAUUCCCAGGGCUCUGGCCCAAAUCAACUCCAUUGACAUUAUGAUUUGUAUUGUCGGCUCGAUGGUCAGACUGGCCCUGUGUAUUCCCAUUGACAGGUAUGAUAUGGAUGAGCACAUUUUCUUGGGGUGAAUCCAUUGUUUUAAUUCCACACAAAAGAUUUGCUUUGGUUAUUUCUCAAUGUUGAGGUCCCAUCUGGGGUGCCAUUUUUUAUGUAACGGUUUUGACUUGAGGUUAUAAUUUAUAGGGGUGCCAGGUAGGUUGUGCCUACCAGAGAAAAUAUUAGUUUCUCCUUUUAGUUUGAUAGGGAAUGAGUCCCAUCUGGUCCGUCAAGUCUACACCAAUACAAAGGACUCAUGUAAAAGUCAGGAUGGAAAUACACUUUUCAUAAACCCUUAAAACAAUGGAAAUAACUUCAAAACAACUGUAUUCUUUUGCGUGGUUGUAUUAACAACCUAAAUGAUCACACACACACACACAACAAUAUAACAAUAAUGAGCUUUAAACAGCUCUGGUUCCUCCAGAAAUGUCCUGUACCUCGGGCCUAAAAAGAGUCCAGCCCGGUAAACAAGUUCAGGGAACUCAAGUGACCUUAGUCACGCAAUGGUUGUCCGUUCAUACAGUGUAGCGUAAACCCAGUGUCAAUCAUACAAUGAAAAGAACAAAUAUUUUACCACACAUUUCAAUAAAUCCUCAACUACAACUAACUACCUAAAUCAUCACAGUAUACAUCACACCAAAACAAAUGAAAUACCGUAUACAAAAAAGGUUGUAGUCCGUCGGUCAGUCAGAGAAGCCAAUCCGCCGACAGAUCUCCAGCGGAGAAAGGCCACGAAAACCAACGGAGAGGUGUAGUCCACAGAUGCAAGAGUGGAGCCGACCUUGGGUAGAUUUUCUAUUAGGCUACACAAAGCACACUUUUAAAGCAGCACAACAAACGGAAGAGAGACGCUUCAGAACUGAGGGUCGAACACAUCCUCAUUCAUGUUUCCAUCACAACUCCUCUUUUGCACAGCUGAUGCUGGCUAUUUAAUUGGGAAUUAAAGGGGAAGCGCCCUAUUGGAAGAAGCACUAAUUAAUUGAGAAUUAAAGGGAAAGCGCCCUAUUGGACGAAGCACUAAUUAAUUGAGAAUUAAAGGGAAAGCGCCCUAUUGGAAGGAGAAGCACUGAGACGGUUCAGAAACAUUCAGGGCCGUCACAACGUGUAGGUGUCACAGAAAACAAACCUGGAAUUUUCCGAAUCAGAC